GACGAACGCUGGCGGCGUGCUUAACACAUGCAAGUCGUACGGUAAGGCCCUUUCGGGUGUCCACGAGUGGCGACCGGGUGAGUAACACGUGAGUAACCUGCCCACAACUUUUUGAUAACGCUAGUAAACUGGUGCUAAUACUGGAUAUAUCCUCCUCCUGCAUGGUGUGGGUUGGAAAGCUCCGGCGGUUGUGGAUGGACUCGCGGCCUAUCCGCUUGUUGGUGGGGUAGUGGCCUACCAAGGCGGCGACGGGUAGCCGGCCUGAGAGGGUGACCGGCCACACUGGGACCGAGAGAAGGCCCAGACGGCUAAGGGAGGCAGAAGGGGGGAAGAUUGAACAAGGGGCGCAAGCCUGAUGAAGAAAGGCCGCGGGCGGGAUGACGGCCUUGGGGUUGAAAACCGCUUUCAGCAGGGACGAAGCUUUUUGUGACGGUACCUGAAGAAGAAGCACCGGCUAACUACGUG
rnacentral:rRNA from 1 species